CCCAUGUUUUAAAUAUGAAAUUAUUGUGAUCAAGAAGAGAGACAACCUUUAUGUCAAGCGUUAUGGAAAUGGGAUGCAACAAUCCACGAUUCCCCCCUACAGUCCAGUGGUGGUCUCGUCCAUUGACAGCGGAGCAGAGCUGUGUGUGUGGUGUCAGGUCUCUCGCUCAAUGAUGAGGUUUCAAGUGCGCCUUUGAGAUGUUGGGAGUCUGUAGAAUAUUCUGCAAUUUGUAACUUUUUCGCUUCGCUUUUAUUACAACAACAUUCCAACUUUUAGUCUACAAGAUCGACCGGUACGUGUAAACAUACCUUAUUUAGUUUUUUGUUUGUAUAUGUAAGCUUCUGUUAGUUUUUUCAUGCAGCGAAAAUGUUGAAAGUUUUGUGAGGACACUCCUUCUUCAGGACCCGACGGACCAAGGCUACAGCUGACAAAUUGGGGGACAUAUCAGCUCUGUCAUUUUCUUAGAGCUUGAUCUACACAGCAGGAGUAGGAGGUCGAUUUCCCACUUUUCCAAUCAAGUCUCUCCAUGAUGCCUUGCAAUCAUCUCAGUGGCAUACCUGCCAGCCUGCCGUCAGUGUCAGAACAAUUCGGAACC